AUUGUCGUGGCCGAGUGAUUAAGGCGAUGGACUAAAAUUCUUUUGGGAUCUUCCCGCACAGGUUCGAAUCCUGCCGACAUCG
rnacentral:tRNA from 1 species